rnacentral:lncRNA from 10 species
CAAACACCCGGCUCUCCUCUCCACCAGGCUCCCACGCCCACCACACAGCCUGUAGCCCCGGCGGAGCUAUGGGCUCUGACUCCGCCUCUUUCCAAAUCCGGAGUAGUUCGUGCCACAGUCGUCCUCGGAACCCUGUGGCCCCUUCCUCACCCGUUUCAGGGCCACUUGGUUCCCACCUCCACCUUCUUAGUCUGCCUGCCCUGCUUUCCAUCUUCUUGGAAUUCGCCUUGCUGCCGCCCCGCGCCCACCCCCGCGCCCACCCCUGCCCCUGCACCGUCCCAUGCCCUUAUGGAUUUAUUCUUUACACGUAAAUAUGUCUUUCCUCUUUUUGAAAGGAUUUGGAGUUGGAACAGAGAAAUUCACUAUGGAUGAUGCUAUAUCUUUAUAUGACCUUUGGAAUAUCUGUAAUCAUCCUGAGGGCAAUACUUAUGUAAUGAAGAUGGAAGAAGAGAGAAUAUGAAUACUCCGUGCACUUUGAUCUUAUCGUUUAGCUGCUGAUCAUACCAUCCCUGGAGUCCUACUUCUGACUCCAAGUUAUGAGUGUCAACUUCUAUGUCCAGUAGUGACCUAAGGAAAAGAGUUGGAGGAUUCUGACCAUAUCUCUUUAACUGUGAUGAGUGCACAGACCAAGACUGAUCAAUUGUGUGAGUGUGAUCCCAUCACUGAUCAUUAAUAUGAAACUCUCUUACAUUUUAACUCAUGUAUCCUCAGGACCAAUAAUAUCACAUGGGCUUGGGGAACAGGAAAUGGGACGUGAUAUACGUAAUGAAUUUUGAACAAAUCUACUGCAGUAUAAACAUCUGUCCUUUAUCCAAACAGAAUACAGGUUUAAACUCUGUCUGAAUACUAAGAACUUUUGAACAGCCAUACAUUAAAUUUUUCACUAACGGUUUUAAAUCAGUGACAAACUCCCUUUGGGGUACCUGUUGGCCCAUUGCCAAAAUAACAUAUCAGUGGUUUCCGAUAUAAUGGCUAUGAGAGUUAUCCAGAGCGGGGAGGCCGAUAACAACCAUUUAUCA